rnacentral:rRNA from 1 species
AGCAGUAGCCGCGGUAAUACAGAGGGUGCGAGCGUUAAUCGGAUUUACUGGGCGUAAAGCGUGCGUAGGCGGCUUCUUAAGUCGGAUGUGAAAUCCAUGAGCUUAACUUAGGAAUUGCAUUCGAUACUGGGAAGCUAGAGUAUGGGAGAGGAUGGUAGAAUUCCAGGUGUAGCGGUGAAAUGCGUAGAGAUCUGGAGGAAUACCGAUGGCGAAGGCAGCCAUCUGGCCUAAUACUGACGCUGAGGUACGAAAGCAUGGGGAGCAAACAGGAUUAGAUACCCCAGUAGUCCCUGUCUCUUAUAC